rnacentral:lncRNA from 1 species
CCGACUGUAUCAUUUUAAAGGAUCCAUGGAGCUAGGUCAUGUUCUAAAACUAGACUCAUUCUAUUUUCUCGGUAAGAUUUGGGUUUAUUGAAUUCCAAUCCAACCCGACCUGCUUAAUCUUUUGAUUGAUUUGGAUCUUAUACUUAGACGCGAUCCUACCCAAACCCAAUAUAGGACCUAUUCUAUUUUCUAGGUUUUUGCCUAUGGCUAAUGACUUCUUCCAAAC